rfam:Bombyx mori DNA, contig: Bm_scaf3_contig3241, strain: p50T/Dazao, build 2, whole genome shotgun sequence.
AACUAAUUUAUGAUGAUUUCAUAGUUCAUCUGAGUACUAUGAUGUAUAGCUAUUAUUGUCUUUCGCUCCUAUCUGAUAUUAAAA